UACGUGGAGGGGCGAGCGUUGCUCGGAAUCACUGGGCGUAAAGGGUGCGUAGGCGGGUCUUUAAGUCAGGGGUGAAAUCCUGGAGCUCAACUCCAGAACUGCCUUUGAUACUGAAGAUCUUGAGUUCGGGAGAGGUGAGUGGAACUGCGAGUGUAGAGGUGAAAUUCGUAGAUAUUCGCAAGAACACCAGUGGCGAAGGCGGCUCACUGGCCCGAUACUGACGCUGAGGCACGAAAGCGUGGGGAGCAAACAGG
rnacentral:rRNA from 1 species